AUUGUGAAUAGCACUGUUGUUGCUUCUUAAUCACUUGUUCUGAGGCCCAUGUUAGUGACACAAAAGUUUCUCAGUCAAGUCUUGGUCUUAGGCUGUCAUUGUAUACUUGGACUUAAGGGUUAACACUUUGUUAACAUUUUAGCAUAUUCCUUCUCCUCUUCAACCCCUAUAGCAGCUGAACUCUGUUUUGCAUCAUGGAAGACCUUCCAUAGGAACAAAUUUUUUACCCCUUUCCUAGCUGACUCUGCUCUGUAUCUAUGCAGAAUCCUCGACCCAAGUAGGUUCCUAUCCCUCCCUAGUAGCAGAGACUUUUCCUUCUAUUCUUCCUUCGCAGGCAGCAUCCCUUUGGGUGGGACUAGCAGCAGGAGAUCUUUCAGCUCUUUCCUCAGUUGCACUUGGCUCUUAUUCAUACUGCUCCCUCAAAGGCAGCAAAUAUUUCCCUUCUUCAAAGGGGUUGAAAGGAUUUCCUGCCUUUCCAGCAACAGUCUAUGCUUUUGCUUUUUUUAAGAGAAGAAGCUGGAAAGCAGGUGAGAUUUUGUGUUCGUGUGCCACUGAGAAAGACUUUCUCUGGCGUUUGGCUCUGUCUCUAACCUUUCUUAUGAACUGCCUGUGGAUUCUGGAAAAGAGCUGCUGCCAUGUUGUAAGCUGUCCUGUGAAGAGGGCCACAGGGCAAGAAACUCAUGCAACCAACAGCUAUUGAGGAGCUGAGGCUUGUUAGCAGCCAUGUAAGUGAAUUUGAAAGUAGAUUAAAAUGACUGUAGGCCUGACCUUCACCUUAUUUGCAGCACUAUGAGAAACCCUGAUGAAAGGAUUCACCUAAGCUGUACUGAACUCUUGACACUUAGAAACUGUGAGUAAUAAGUAGUUAUUGCUUUUAGUUGCUAAUGUUAGGCCAAUUUGUUAUGUAGCAGGAAUCUCUUAAGACACCAUGUAAUACAUUUAUGGUCUUUUUUCUAUUGAAUUGUAUGUAACCUUAUCAUUGAAUCAUUAAUUCCACUCAUUUAUUGCUAUAGACUUGCUGUAGCUCAUAUGUAAUAGAGUGUUUCCCCCUGCUUCACCUUUUUAUUUUAAAGUCAACUUUGGUAUUUGUUAAUUUUCUUCUUCAUACUUUUUAUGGUAAGUUCACUGAAUUUUUGAAAUAUAGUUAGAAUUUGAUUGAAUUUGCAUCGUUUAUUGACAAAUAUGCAGAAUUUAUAACUUUAUUUCACUAUAAUCUCAUUC
rnacentral:lncRNA from 1 species